UACGAAGGGGGCUAGCGUUGUUCGGAAUUACUGGGCGUAAAGCGCACGUAGGCGGAUACUUAAGUUAGGGGUGAAAUCCCAGGGCUCAACCCUGGAACUGCCUUUAAUACUGGGUAUCUCGAGUCCGAGAGAGGUGAGUGGAAUUCCGAGUGUAGAGGUGAAAUUCGUAGAUAUUCGGAGGAACACCAGUGGCGAAGGCGGCUCACUGGCUCGGUACCGACGCUGAGGUGCGAAAGCGUGGGGAGCAAACAGG
rnacentral:rRNA from 1 species